rnacentral:rRNA from 1 species
AGCGAACGCUGGCGGCAGGCCUAACACAUGCAAGUCGAGCGGCCGUAGCAAUACGGCAGCGGCAGACGGGAGAGUAACACGUGGGAACGCGCCCUUCGGUUCGGGAUAACUCAGGGAAACUCGGGCUAAUACCGGAUACGCCCUUACGGGGAAAGAUUUAUUGCCGAAGGAACGGCCCGCGUCCGAUUAGCUAGUUGGUGAGGUAACGGCUCACCAAGGCGACGAUCGGUAGCUGGUCUGAGAGGAUGACCAGCCUCACUGGGACUGAGACACGGCCCAGACUCCUACGGGAGGCAGCAGUGGGGAAUAUUGGACAAUGGGCGCAAGCCUGAUCCAGCCAUGCCGCGUGGGUGAUGAAGGCCCUAGGGUUGUAAAGCCCUUUCAGCGGGGAAGAUAAUGACGGUACCCGCAGAAGAAGCCCCGGCUAACUUCGUGCCAGCCGCCGCAGUAA